UAUCCUCAGCAAACUAAUGCAGGAACAGAAAACCAAACACUGCAUGUUCUCACUUAUAAGUGGGAGCUGAACAAUGAGAACACAUAGACACAGGGAGAGAAACAACACACACUGGGACCUGUUGGGGGUUGGGUGCAGGAAGAGAGAACAUUAAGAAAAAUAGCUAAUGCAUACUGGGCUUAAUACCUAGGUGAUGAGUUGAUAGGUGCAGCAAAUCACCAUGGAACAUGUUUACCUAUGUAACAAACCUGCACAUCCUGUACAUGCACCCCAGCACAGUCAUUGUCUUCAUCUACUCCCUGAUUUAUUUUGGUCAUUUGAAAUAUUUACAAUAUUUCUUUGUUGAAUUUCUCACUUUGUUCCUCUUUUUUUUUUUUUUUCUUAGAUGGAGUCUCGCUCUGUCACCAGGCUGGAGUGCAGUGGCACGAUCUCAGCUCACUGCAAUCUCCACCUCCCGGGUUGAAGUGAUUCUCCUACCUCAGCCUCCCAAGUAGCUGGGACUACAGGCGUGCACCACCACGCCCAACUAAUUUUUGUAUUUUUAGUAGAGACAGGGUUUCACUAUGUUGGCCAGAAUGAUCUCUAUCUCUUGACCUCGUGAUCUACCUGCCUCAGCCUCUCAAAGUGCUGGGAUUACAGGUGAGAGCCACUGCGCCCGACCUGUUCAUCCAUUUUUAUCUUGACUUAUGUGUGCAUUGUUAUGGUAGCUGUUUCUAAUUUGUUAUCACUUUAUUCAUAUACCUCUCUUUAUGGUCAGUUUCUGGGGAUUUUUUUGUUCCCUUUUGAGUCAUGUUUCUCUGUUUCUUCAUGUUCUUUGAAGCUUUGCAUUGGUGUAUGCACAUUUGAAGAAACAGCUCCCUCUUCCUAUCUUCCCAGACUAGCUUUUAUAGGGAAAGACCUUCACCAAUCAACCCAAAUAGAGAUUCUAGGGGCUUGUCAAACAUUCUCUGUAAAGUGUCUUAUCUGUAUUUGUGUGUGCAUAUUUCUGAUCAGAGAGAUCUACUGGUUUCUGUUUUAAAAUAUCUUGUAAUCUGGCUGCCCGUGGUGUCUGUCUGCUGUACUAUGAGUUCUCUGAUGCAGCAGGAUGACAGUCAGAUUUUUUUUAUCAUGUUUUAUUCUUAAGAUAUCCAGAGUAUCUGGAGUCCCAUUGGCAUCCCGGGUGGGAAAGACAAAAACACAUUUCUUGGGCAUCUCCCUGAAAAAUUAGAAUGUUGGACACAUACUGCACUCCCUUCCCUCCCUCCUGAGGGAGAAACCUAAAAUUGCCCAUCUUAUUUUUAUUGCACUGAGCUGUACCAGUCACAGAUUUUCUUUGUGCUCACCUUCUAUUCAGUGACCCAAACAUCCAAAUAUGCAAGUUCCAUAAGUGCUCUGAGUGAGGUGAGACAAAUACCAGUUCCUCACACAGUGUGUCAAAAGGCCCAGAUGUGUAUUGCUCCACUCCUUCCUUUUCUAUGAGGGAGCGGUCAUAGGCCAGGGUGUUCUCUCUUGGCACUGAGCUGAAACAACUUUGGGAAGGGGUUGUCAUGGGUCAGGUGAAAUUACUCUUCUUACCCAUUUCAGUGCAACUGUUCUUGGGUUUGUGCUCAUCUAUUGUUUUACAACAUCUUACCUCUAUUUUGGAAAUCUCAUAGAGGUAUUUGGAUCCAAUCAUUGUUAAAUCAAUGUUUCUGUGGGGGGAUUAAUAGGUAGGACUUCCUAUUUAUGUUUUUUCUAUGCUUGCGAUCAUGUCCUAGUAUUUUAGAGGUUUUUAUGUACCUUGAUCUAAAUUACAUAUCAAAAUAUGGAAAUAAUCAUUGAGCUGUAUAUAUUUGUGUACAAAAUUCUCUUUGUAAUUUACCUCAUUAAAACUGGAAACAAACACGUUAAGAAACUUCAAGCCAAAGCAUAUACUGUAAUUGAAGUUCUCUGCGUUGGUGUCCAGUGAAGAGCCUGAUAGGGUGUUGCGAUAAACAAAAACUAUUGCAUAAAUUAAUUCCGUGUCAGUCUUUUCACAACUCUUUUACUACAUUCAAACACAGCAAUUCUCUUUACGGCUUUCUCAUCUUUUAUGUGCAAAUCUGUUUCCUAAACAUGCUGUACUACUUGAAAUGAGGACAAGAUUCAUGUCUCCAGUACUGUAACUUACCCUCAAACACUGCAUGAAGCUUACCUCGUAAAGGACAGGAGGGAGAUCCUUUUACAUAUGUUGGGCAUGUGGAGCAUUUCACACAGAGAAGGUUUUUUUUUUUGUGCUGCCUCCAGUUCUUUUUUCAUGGUGGAUUUCAAAAUCUUCAACAAUAGCAGAAACAAUAAACUGUACAGUUGUCAGAAAAGAGUAGGCACUGUAGGCGCACUGGUCAACCCACAGAUGAGAAGUGAGUUGACUGCACUUUCUGUCUGGUGGAAAAUAUAAGCCUUAAAAUGCAAUGAUAUGUGUAAAAAUGAUGUGAAAAGUGAAUUAGGACGUUAAAGCAGCCUCCAGGAAAUUAUGUUUCAAGGAUAUUUUAGACAAGAGAUCCAAGUGGCUACAGAGCAUUGAAAAGGGUAUGUAUGUUAGAGAAUCAGACCAUGAUGGGGACCGAAUAAAGAUUACAGUCCAAAUGAAGGCCAUAUUGGAUUAUAGUCCAAAGCUCCAUUUGGACCACAUGGUCCCCAAAGGACGUGGACAUUGGUUCUCAGCUCACUGCCCCUGGUGAAAAACAGCUUGCCUCAGAAAGGAGCAAAAUUUCCUGAGAGAACUCAUUUUGGUUCUUGGCUCAGAAAUACUGAAGGUUGGGGAAGGAGGGGCUGCUUUCUCCCUAAUCUCAUGCUUCCAUGAGGAAUAACUCUCAAAAGAGACAAUCCUGGCCCUUCUGUACAUACCCUCAGCUACCCAUAAAGAACUGAGUUACUUGAUUGGUGAGUGUGGGAGAAUGCCAUAGGCAUUCUCAAGUGCCCAGAACACUUUUAGAAAGAGAUCAUAUUCAGGCCUGCUUUCUGGGCUGCACCCUAUAUUUACCAGGUUAGGUUUUGUACCUGUUAAAAAAACUGGGACAGGUAAGUUCAGUUAUGGAAUGAAGCAUUAGAAAUAAUGUUGAUGGUAGGUAUUGAAAGUCACAUCCUCUAUUCCAGUCCUCACAGUAGUAAAACACCUAAAAUUUUUUAUCUUCAUGGUCCUAACCACUUUAAAUAUCUCUGGGUUAUAUGUGAUCUGGGCAGAGGAGAUGUAUGUUAUUUACUGGACUCCCAGACCCAUAAGACUGGAGUAAUUAAUGGAUUGAUAUUGACAUAAUGUGGAGCAGCUUUAGGUUAGAGGGUUGUCUAGAACAGGUACAUUAGGAAACCUGUGAGAUGGAGGUUAAAACAGGACUAAGACCAGACCUUUAUGAAUAAUCAUUAUAAAAUAAUAAAUUCAAAUUUAGGCAACAUUAGGUAUCCAGUCAUGUAUAAAAUCCAUUUUCCAUACCAAGCUUCAAUUGCAUUUCAUAAGCAAUGCUCUCUUUUUUUCCCUGGGAAACUGAUGGGAUCAUCAGUUGCCAUUUAGUUUAAUAAUGCAUCAUUCUUUUUUGAUUCCAAUGCUCUUUUAUUUGUUUUUUGUUUUUUACUUUCCAACUUUUAGGCUCGGGGCACAUGUGCAGGUUUGUUACAUGGAUAAAUUGUGUUUCAUGGGGGUUUGGUGUGUAGAUGAUUUCAUCACCAAGUUAAUAAGCACAGUACCCAAUAAGUAGUUUUUUUGAUCCUCACCUUCUUACCUCCUUACAUCUUCCACCCCCAAGUAGGCUCUGGUGUCUAUUGUUCUCUUGUUUGUG
rnacentral:lncRNA from 1 species